GGUGGUUCUCAGGUGACACACCCAGGAAUCGGGCUCCCUCCUCUCUGGUUCUGAGUGCGUCACCCAAGAACCAUU
rfam:Myotis davidii contig31466, whole genome shotgun sequence.